CAGUCGCCGCGGUAAUACGAAGGGUGCAAGCGUUACUCGGAAUUACUGGGCGUAAAGCGUGCGUAGGUGGUGGUUUAAGUCCGUUGUGAAAGCCCUGGGCUCAACCUGGGAAUUGCAGUGGAUACUGGGUCACUAGAGUGUGGUAGAGGAUAGUGGAAUUUCCGGUGUAGCAGUGAAAUGCGUAGAGAUCGGAAGGAACAUCUGUGGCGAAGGCGACUAUCUGGGCCAACACUGACACUGAGGCACGAAAGCGUGGGGAGCAAACAGGAUUAGAUACCCCAGUAGUCCCUGUCUCUUAUGC
rnacentral:rRNA from 1 species